AAGAAAAGAGAGCACAAAAAGAAUUUGAAAAACCAACGAGAGAGAGCAGAAACGCGAGAGAAAGAUCAUAACGUGAAAAAAAUUUAGGUUUUUUACUGUAGAGAUUAGAAUUAAAAUUAAUCUAUAAAUUAAAUUUUACAUAAGGAUAUAAUAGAAAUAUAAAAAAAAAAUAAAAAAAAAAUAAAAAAAGAAAGAAUAAAAGUGAGAUGGGGAAGUGAAGGUCCAAAGAGGUAAAGGUACAGGAAUUAACACCCAAAUUUGAAAGAAGUAGAAGUCCACAGACC
rnacentral:lncRNA from 1 species